GGGUGAUUUAUGAAGCUCAGAUCCCCGGACCCCCUCCAACACCCCUGUGCCCGCUUUCCAAUCCCCUCUGUACCUAGAGAAGAUGGAGAGGGUGGAGCUGGAAAGAGAGAGAAAAAAACUCUGCGACCUAAGGAUACUGAAAGAUACAAACAUCGAGCUUCUGAGUUCCUCCCCGAAGGCCCCAGCUUCCUAAUCAACUGGGAGUCUGGACCCACCCCUUCAGAUUACAGCCACAACCAAGGGCCACAGCCCUUCCCGACAACCCCUUUCUGGGACAAGCUAGGAGUGACCCCAGGAAUGCUUUGGUGUCUCCCCACUGGACCGCGAACUUAAGGAUGGAGAGCCUGUCAUCAGUCUUCUAACCCCUCACCUUUGAGGGCGGCCGCCCUCAUCCUGGUGGUGGCUAACCGGAGCUGCAGCCGCCGCCUGCGUGUCUGGACGUCAGAUC